CGCGCGAUGUAAACAAAUAUUCUAUUUACUUUUUGGGGGUAGUAAAGUGAUUAAUUUUAAAAAUAAGCUUCAAAAAUGUUUAUGUGUUUUAAUGCACAUUUCGUUGAUACUGAGGAAGAGCCGCGUAUUAAGCGUAGACGUUUAAGGGAUAGUUCAAAUGUGCUGGAUUUACCAAACAAAGACUGAUUUUAUCAGACAUUGGCCCUAAAAUAGGAAAAAGAAUACGCUCCACGGCUAUACCAGAUAUUACCAAAUUAGCUUGCUUCUUUCAUGCUCUCGGCGGGCAGAAUCAAUGAAGGUUGACACAAACCCAAAUACUUGUGUAUCACAAGGCAAAGAUCGUUGCCGAAUGUUUGGAAAUAUUCGAAGAACACUUUUGCGGCAAGUGGAUAACUUUAAAAAUGUCUGCAAAGGAGGAAGCUAAAAAUAGGGAAGCAUUUUACAGGAAGACCAAAGUGCCUGGUAUAAUGGGUUGUGUUGAUUGCACGCAUUUUACAAUAAUACGUCCGUCACUUGAGGAAAAACAUUUAUACCAAAAUAAAAGUGGGUCUUUUAGUUUAAUUAGUUUAUUUACGCUAAUGAUUUCUGAUGCAAACUUGGUUGUGAGGUUUGUCGAUGCAAGAAAACCAGCUGAUAAUGAGGAUGAUUUGGUUUGGCUACUAAGUAAGGGCUUAUAGGUGAUACUGACUUGACACUGCAACCAUAUUUGAUGACACCAUAUCGGAAACCAACUAAGCGUUAUGAAAUUAUUUACAAUAAGAGACUUGUGGAAGCACACAAAUACAUUGCCGAGUGUUUCAACGCUAUUAGAAAUAGAUUUCGCUGUUUAGCGGUCGAUAAAGCCAUAUUUUACCAGCCGGAGAAAGCAACUAAUAUAAUUAAUGUUUGUAGUGCAAUUCAUAAUGCUUGCAUAUUUUAUAAAGACAAUUCGCAAUUUGAUGAGAUAAGUGCUACGAAAAAAAGCGAAAACAAUAGUUAUAACAACCCAUCGUUUAGCAGUGAUGAAGAU